rnacentral:rRNA from 1 species
CCAGGCAAAUCCGGGAUCACUUACGCCGAGCACCGAGACGAGUCCUAUGAGGACGAAGUGACUGACACCACGCUUCCAGGAAAAGCCACUAAGCUUCAGCUUAAGAAAAACCGUACCGCAAACCGACACAGGUAGGCAGGGUGAGAAUCCCAAGGCGCUUGAGAGAACUCGGGUGAAGGAACUAGGCAAAAUGGCACCGUAACUUCGGGAGAAGGUGCGCCCUUUGGUGUGGUCACGUGCGUGACUGAGCAUCGAAGGGUCGCAGUAACCUGGCCGCUGCGACUGUUUAUCAAAAACACAGCACUCUGCAAACACGAAAGUGGACGUAUAGGGUGUGACGCCUGCCCGGUGCUGGAAGGUUAAUUGAUGGGGUCAGCCGCAAGGCGAAGCUCUUGAUCGAAGCCCCAGUAAACGGCGGCCGUAACUAUAACGGUCCUAAGGUAGCGAAAUUCCUUGUCGGGUAAGUUCCGACCUGCACGAAUGGCGUAACGACAGCGGCGCUGUCUCCACCCGAGACUCAGUGAAAUUGAAAUCGCUGUGGAGAUGCAGCGUUCCCGCGGCAAGACGGAAAGACCCCGUGAACCUUUACUAUAGCUUUACACUGAACGUUGAGUUCUUCUGUGUAGGAUAGGUGGGAGGCUAUGAAACCAGGACGCUAGUUCUGGUGGAGCCAUCCUUGAAAUACCACCCUGAAGUGCUUGACGUUCUAACCUAGGCCCGUAAUCCGGGUCAGGGACCGUGUAUGGUGGGUAGUUUGACUGGGGCGGUCUCCUCCCAAAGAGUAACGGAGGAGCACGAAGGUACGCUCAGCGCGGUCGGACAUCGCGCACUGUGUGCAAAGGCAUAAGCGUGCUUGACUGCGAGAUCGACGGAUCAAGCAGGUACGAAAGUAGGUCUUAGUGAUCCGGUGGUUCUGUAUGGAAGGGCCAUCGCUCAACGGAUAAAAGGUACUCCGGGGAUAACAGGCUGAUACCGCCCAAGAGUUCAUAUCGACGGCGGUGUUUGGCACCUCGAUGUCGGCUCAUCACAUCCUGGGGCUGUAGCCGGUCCCAAGGGUAUGGCUGUUCGCCAUUUAAAGUGGUACGCGAGCUGGGUUCAGAACGUCGUGAGACAGUUCGGUCCCUAUCUGUCGUGGGCGUUGGAGAUUUGAGGGGGGCUGCUCCUAGUACGAGAGGACCGGAGUGGACGUUCCGCUGGUGUUCGGGUUGUCAUGCCCAUGGCAUUGCCCGGUAGCUACGAACGGAAGUGAUAACCGCUGAAAGCAUCUAAGCGGGAAGCACGCCCCAAGAUGAGAUCUCCCGAGAGCUUGACUCUCCUAAAGGCACCAUCAAGACUAGGUGGUUGAUAGGUCAGGUGUGGAAGCGCAGCAAUGCGUUGAGCUAACUGAUACUAAUGAGCCGUGAGGCUUGAUC